UAAGGAAUAUUGGUCAAUGGAGGGAACUCUGAACCAGCCAUGCCGCGUGCAGGAAGACAGCCCUCUGGGUCGUAAACUGCUUUUAUUCGGGAAUAAACCUUUCUACGUGUAGGAAGCUGAAUGUACCGAAGGAAUAAGGAUCGGCUAACUCCGUGCCAGCAGCCGCGGUAAUACGGAGGAUCCAAGCGUUAUCCGGAUUUAUUGGGUUUAAAGGGUGCGUAGGCGGCUUAUUAAGUCAGGGGUGAAAGACGGUGGCUCAACCAUCGCAGUGCCCUUGAUACUGAUGAGCUUGAAUACACUAGAGGUAGGCGGAAUGUGACAAGUAGCGGUGAAAUGCAUAGAUAUGUCACAGAACACCGAUUGCGAAGGCAGCUUACUAUGGUGUUAUUGACGCUGAGGCACGAAAAGCGUGGGGAUCAAAACA
rnacentral:rRNA from 1 species